GGGCGAUUGGGGAAAACGAUGGACUGACUGAGAAAGCAUUUAGGCAUAGUGACUUGUUCCCGGACUGUCCAGAGAGGUUUAAAUUCCUUGCUAGAAACUCUUAUGAAAGGAAAUGUGAGGUGGGCGGCAGAAAGGCUAAGGUGUUCUAGGCUGCAAUAAGAAAAGUAUACAAUCCACCCAGUGCGGUGGCUCACGCCUGUAAUCCCAGCACUUCAGGAGGCCGAGGUGGGCAGAUUACAAGGUCAGGAGAUUGAGGCCAGCCUGGCUAACACAGUGAAACCCCAUCUCUACUAAAAAUACAAAAAAUUAGCCGGGCAUGGUGGCGGUUGCCUUUAGUCCCAGUUACUCAGGAGGCUGAGGCAGGAAAAUUGCUUGAACCUGGGAGGCGGAGGUUGCAGUGAGCCAAGAUCAUACCACUGCACUCCAGCCUGGGCAACAGAGCAAGACUCUGUCUCAAAAAAAAAAAAAAAAAAAGAAAAGAAAAAAAAAAGAAAAGAAAACAACGUGGCCUGUGGCCUGGUCUGGUUCUGCUCUGCUAUCCACGGCUCAGGUCAAUCUGGAACAUGGGAUUCCGUGUGGGAAAGUACAUGCUAAAAGGAAAUUAGAAGAUCUGUACCAAGAAAAGAAUAGCAGCACCAUGAGAGAACCGGGACUUGGGAGACGUAAAGGAUGACAGAAGAGGUCUGAUCAUUUAGCCUGGAACAGACUCAGUGCAAGAAAGGACAAUAUCACCCUUUUCAAAUAUUUGAAAAGCUGGGCUUUGAAGCGAUUUGUUUGGUUUGCCCCAAAGGGUAUAACUUAGACCAAAUGGUCAGAAACUACAGAGAAACAGAUUUCAGCUCAGUAAAGGGAAGGACCUUCCAGCGGGCAGCGAUAGAAUGGCCAAAGAGGAAGGACCUUCCAGCCAGUUUGAAGACAGAAUAGGCUGCCUUGAGAGGUUUUUGCACUUCUGACCACCAAUGGCUCCACUCGGACCCACCAACCAGCUAUGAGGCCUCACUCACAAGGAGACCCCCUGGCCUGUCAAACUAUCCUUGAAAAACCCUAGUCUCCAAAUUUUGGCAGAGAUUGAUUUGAGCAAUAACUCUAUCUCCUACGUGCUGUGGCCAGUCUUGUGCCAAUUAAACUAUUGCAAUGCCAUAG
rnacentral:lncRNA from 1 species